rnacentral:rRNA from 1 species
AGCGAACGCUGGCGGCAGGCCUAACACAUGCAAGUCGAACGGACCCUUCGGGGUUAGUGGCGGACGGGUGAGUAACACGUGGGAACGUGCCUUUAGGUUCGGAAUAGCUCCUGGAAACGGGUGGUAAUGCCGAAUGUGCCCUUCGGGGGAAAGAUUUAUCGCCUUUAGAGCGGCCCGCGUCUGAUUAGCUAGUUGGUGAGGUAAUGGCGCACCAAGGCGACGAUCAGUAGCUGGUCUGAGAGGAUGACCAGCCACAUUGGGACUGAGACACGGCCCAAACACCUACGGGAGGCAGCAGUGGGGAAUCUUGCGCAAUGGGCGAAAGCCUGACGCAGCCAUGCCGCGUGGAUGAUGAAGGUCUUAGGAUUGUAAAAUCCUUUCACCGGUGAAGAUAAUGACUGUAGCCGGAGAAGAAGCCCCGGCUAACUUCGUGCCAGCCGCCGCCGUAACAC